rnacentral:rRNA from 1 species
UUUGUGGGCAAUAUAGUUUUACCCCGGCAAUGUGUUAUUUGUAUAAUACUUGUUCCAGAAUAAUCGGCUAGGCUUGUAAAAAUUUACACUUUAUUUUGUUUUAAUUAUAAUUUUUUUUUUAUAUUUUUAAUAAUUUUAGGUUAAAUUUUAAUUAUUGUAAGUAAAUAAUUAUAAUUUUAAGGUUUGGUUUUUUUUUUAUAUUUUUAAUAAUUUUAGGUUAAAUUUUAAUUAUUGUAAGUAAAUAAUUAUAAUUUUAAGGUUUGGUAAACGAAUUAGAUUAGUACCUAAUUAGUCAAAAGUUAAAAGAGCAGAAGUAAGGUAAUGUUUAAACUGAAAGAAUAUUGGCAGAUUUUCUAAAUUAUCUUUGGAGGUUGAGUAAUAAUUGAGAACCCUCAUUAACUACUUUAAAAUUUAGUCUCAUGUAUGAUCGUUUAUUUUAUACUUGAGGUAUAUAAUAAAAAAUUAUUAUUUAUUAAAAUAGAUAUAUAUUUGGUUUAUGUAAGAGUUUAAUUUGACCUACAAUAAAUUAUGUUUGUGGAUUUAUAAUUUAGUGUUAUAAUUAAAAUGUAAAAGACAGUAAAAAAAUUUUAAUAUUUUUUUGAAGAUUAUUUAGAUGUGGUACAAAUCAUCCAUCAAUUGCCCGAAGGGGAGUAAGUUGUAGUAAAGUAGAUUUAGGGGAACCUGAAUCUAGUAAUU